GUAGGUGGCAAGCGUUGUCCGGAAUUAUUGGGCGUAAAGCGCGCGCAGGCGGUUCUUUAAGUCUGAUGUGAAAGCCCACGGCUCAACCGUGGAGGGUCAUUGGAAACUGGAGAACUUGAGUACAGAAGAGGAAAGCGGAAUUCCACGCGUAGCGGUGAAAUGCGUAGAGAUGUGGAGGAACACCAGUGGCGAAGGCGGCUUUCUGGUCUGUAACUGACGCUGAGGCGCGAAAGCGUGGGGAGCAAACAGGGAUUAGAUACCCUGGUAGUCCACGCCGUAAACGAUGAGUGCUAAGUGUUAGGGGGUUUCCCGCCCCUUAGUGCUGCAGCUAACGCAUUAAGCACUCCGCCUGGGGAGUACGGCCGCAAGGCUG
rnacentral:rRNA from 1 species